rnacentral:misc_RNA from 1 species
AUAUCAUAUUCGUGGUUGUUUUUUUUUUCUGAUCAAAACAUAUAUUUAUUUUGCGUUACAAAAAAAUUGCAUUCACAAGAUUCGAUCCUGAUUAACUGGCGGCCUACUAGUGAUUUUCGUUCGGUGACGCACAAAUCAAACAAAGAAAAUUUUCGUCAAGCUACAAAGAAAUACGAACACACACACAUAUAUAUAUAUAUAUAUAUAUACAUAUACAAUAUCAAACAACAAAAGUCACAGGCGCGACUGGCCCGAAAGUAAUUCUAUAAAGUACACACACAUUAUGUUCAAUAGAUAUGGGAGGAUUCCUGGAUAAGCCGAAAACAGCAAAGCAUAAUGAACAAGGCGAAGGCAAUAAGCUGCUCUUUGGCGUCAGCUCGAUGCAGGGCUGGCGCUGUGAGAUGGAGGACGCGUAUUAUGCUCAAGCCCGUCUAGGCAAUGCAUUGGAGGAGUGGAGCUUUUUUGCGGUAUUUGAUGGCCAUGCGGGCUGCAAAGUAUCGGAGCACUGUGCCAAGCAUUUGCUAGACAGUAUCAUUACCACAGAGGAGUUCAAGAACGGCGACCAUGUGAAGGGUAUACGUACCGGUUUCCUGCGCAUUGACGAGGUGAUGCGACAACUGCCCGAGUUUACCCAAGAGGAAGAGAAGUGCGGCGGCACUACAGCUGUCUGUGCAUUCAUCAGCUCAACGCAGGUGUAUAUAGCCAAUUGCGGGGAUUCGCGUGCGGUGUUGUGUCGCCAGGGCGUUCCGGUGUUUGCCACCCAGGAUCACAAGCCCAUUUUGCCGGAAGAAAAGGAGCGUAUUCACAAUGCUGGCGGCAGUGUAAUGAUAAAGCGUGUCAAUGGAACACUGGCCGUGUCGCGUGCUCUUGGCGACUAUGACUUUAAGAAUGUGAAGGAGAAAGGGCAGUGCGAGCAGUUGGUCUCACCGGAACCGGAAAUCUUUUGCCAAAGCCGCCAGGACACCGACGAGUUCUUAGUACUCGCCUGUGACGGCAUCUGGGAUGUCAUGAGCAACGAGGAUGUAUGCAGUUUCAUAUACUCGAGGCUGAAAGUGACCACCGACCUGGUAAACAUUGCCAAUCAGGUGGUCGACACCUGUUUGCACAAGGGUAGUCGUGAUAACAUGAGCAUCAUAAUAAUUGCUUUCCCCGGAGCACCAAAGCCAACUGAAGAAGCGAAAGAGGCUGAGCGACGGUUGGAGAAACAAAUUGAGAAGAUCGCAAGAGAGGAGAUCGAGAGUAAUCAGAUCACAGAUUAUGUGGAGCUAUUAAAGUGUCUACAAGACAAAGGUGACAUUCUAGGUCUUCCACCCGGCGGCGGAUUGCAGUCCAAAUAUCACGUUAUCGAGCGCACAUUCAAGGAGGUUUUUCCAGAUAGUCCAUGUGAACUGUAUGCAUAUGAUGAGCUAUGAAUUUUUUAAUGCUAAAUAUUGUUCAUUUCUAAAUCAACAACAACAACCAAAACAACCAACCAACCAACAAGAGAACAAAUGAAACUAAAACCUUAAAAUCCGUAUGCUCUAACUAGUCCAACGCAUUAAAUUGCGAAACAGUCAACAAAUGCAACAACAAAAAUAAUUUAACAAUAAUACCAGAAACAACAAAAAAAAAAAACACACACACACAACACACACCACAAAUGUACACUCCACACACACACAUAAAGUACACCAAAACCGUUUUCUACUUUGAUAAAAAA